rnacentral:lncRNA from 10 species
CCCCAUCUCUAAAUAAAUAAAUAAUUUAUAUAAUACUCUGAAGUAAUAAAUCCCAGUAUAUAAUGAGGUGUUUAUGAUGCUUCAUUUUGAUUUUGAUUUAGUUCCAAAUAUUUCUCUCUACUCUUUUUUAUUAAAAACUCGUGUCACUUCAAGUUCUAAAUAUUUUUAACUUUCUCUUGAGAUUUCUUCGACUACUGUAUUAUUUAAAAGUGCUUUGUUUAAUUUCCAAGUGUUUUGAGAUUUUCCAGCUAUCUUUCUGUUACUGAUUUCUAGUUUAAUUCCAUUAUUGUAAGAGAGCAGAACAUUGUAUGAUUUCCCUUUUACAUUUGUCAAGGUGUGUUUCAUGGCCCAGAAUGUGGUCUGUCUUGAUGAAUGCACCAUGUAAGCUUGAAAAGAAAUGUUGUCUGCUAUUUUUGGUUGAAGUAGUCUGUAGAGUCAGGUUAUAUCCAGUUUGUUAAUUGUGCUAUUAACUUCAACUAUAUUCUGAUUUUCUGCCUGCUGCAUCUGUCCAUUUCUGAGAAAUGGAUAUAUUAAAGUCUGCAGUGAUAAUAGUGGAUUCAUCUUGCAGUUCUAUCCAUUUUUGGCUUACAUAUUUUGACACUUUAUAGUUAGGUGCACACGUUUAGUAUUUUAUUUUCACAGAGUACUGAUUCCUUUAUCAUUUUGUAAUUCCCCUCUUUAUCUCUGAUCAUUUUCUUUGAAAAGAAAAAAGUUUUCCUGUUUGUACCAUCUUUGUCUAGUUUUUGUAUCAGAGUAAUACUAGGUUAUAAAAUGAACUAGGAAGUGUUUCCUCCUCUUCUGUUUUCUGGAGGAGAUUGUAUAAAAUUGGGUGUUAAUUCUUCUCUAAGUGUUUGGUAGAAUUCUCCAGUGAAACCUCUGGGCCUGGAGAUUUCUCUUUUGGAAGUCUUAAAAUUGUGAAUUAUUAUGAAUUAAACUUCUUUAAUAGUUACAGGGCUAUUCAUAUUAUCUAUUUCAUAGUGCAUGAAUUGUGGUAACUUGCUUUUUGAGGAAUUGGUCCAUUUUGUCUUAUCAAAUUUAUAUGUAUAAGGUUUUUGGUAGUAUUCCCUUAUUCUUUUGAUGUCUGUAGGGUCUGUUUUAAUUUUUAAUUUUUGUGGGUACAUACUAGGUGUAUCUAUUUAUGGGAUAAAUGAGAUGUUUUGAUAUAGGUAUACAAUGUGAAAUAAUCAUAUCAUGGAGGAUGGUAUAUCUAUACUAUGGGGUCUCUUGUGAUAUCUCUUUUCAGUCCUGAUACUGGUAAUUUUGCAUCUUCUCUUUGUCUUUUUCUAGAGGUUUGCCAAUUUCACUAAAGAAUCAGCUUUUUGGCCAGGCGCGGUGGCUCACACCUGUAAUCCCAGCACUUUGGUGAGGCAGGAGAAUGGCAUGAACCCGGGAGGCAGAGCUUGCAGUAAGCUGAGAUCCAGCUACUGCACUCCAGCCUGGGCAACAGAGCGAGACUCCAUCUCAAAAAAAAAAAAAAAGAACCAGCUUUUUUUGUAUCAUUGAUAUGUUCUAUUGUUUUUCUGUUUUCAAAGUCAUUGAUUUCUGCUCCCUGUUAUAUCCUUCUUACUGCUUGUUUUUGGUUUAAUAAUAAUUUUUUUUUGAGACAGAGUCUCACUCUGUCACCCAUGCUGGAGUGCGGUGGCACAAACUUGGCUCACUGAAGCCUCUGCCUCCUGGGUUCAAACAAUUCUCCUGCCUCAGCCUCCCAAGUAGCUGGGAUUACAGGCGCACGCCACCACACCCAGCUAAUUUUUGUAUUUUUUAGUAGGGGUUUCACCAUGUUGGCCAGGCUGGUCUUGAAUUCCUGACCUCAAGUGCUCUGCAUGCCUUGUCCUCACAAAAUGCUGGGAUUACAGGCAUGAGCCACCAUGCCCAGCCUUUUGUUUUGUUUGGUUUGGUUUUUAAAGACACGGUCUCAGUUGCCCAGGCUGGAGCACAGUGGGCAUGAUCAUGAGGCUGCCUGCAGCCUUGACCUCCUGGGCUCAAGCUAUCCUUUCUCCUCAGCCUUCUAAGUAGCCGGGACUACAGGCACACGCCACCACACUCAGCUAAAUUUUUAUAUUUCUGUAGAGACAGGGUUUCACUAUUUUGCUCAGGCUAGCUUGAAUUCCUAAACUCUAGUAAUCUGCCCACCUCGGCCUCCCAAAGUGCUGGGAUUACAGGCGUGAGCCACUGUGCCUGGCCUAUGUCUCUCUUAAUCUCAAUUUUUGAGAUUAUUGAUUUGAGAUAUUUCCUGUUUCUAAUGUAGCUAUUUGCUGCUCUAAAUUUUCCUCUCAGCAUUUCUUUAGCUUUGUCUCACAAAUUUCAAUAUGUUAUAUUUUUAUUUUCAUUCAGUUCAGUGUAUUUUUAAAAUUUUUUCUUUGAGAUUCUUCUUCGAUCCAUGGAUAAUUUAGAAGUGUGGUGUUUAGUAUACAAGUAUUUGGAAAUUUUUCUGUUAUUUUUUAUUGAAUUGUAGUUGGAGAAUAUAUGCUGUAUGAUUUGAGUUCUUUUAAAUUUGUUCAGGUUUGUGUGAUGGCCCAAGAUAUGGUCUGUCUUGAUAUAUGUUUCUUUUUUUUCUUCUUCUUUUUUUGAGACGGAGUUUCACUCUGCCACCCAUGCUGGAGUCCAGUGGUGCUAUGUUGGCUCACUGCAGCCUCCACCUGCUGGGUUCAAGCACUUCUCCUUCCUCUCCUGAGUAGCUAGAUGUACAGGCGCACCCACCACCAUGCCCGGUAAUUUUUUGUAUUUUAGUAGAGACGGGGUUUCAUCAUGUUGACCAGGCUGGUCUCGAACUCCUGACCUCAGGUGAUCUGGCCGCCUCAGCCUCCCAAAGUGCUGGGAUUACAGGCGUGAGCCACCGUGCCCUGCCAAUCUUGAUAUAUGUUUCAUGGGCACUUGAAAAGAAUGUACAUUCUGGUGUUGGGUGGAGUGUUGUAUAAAUGUUAAUUACCUCUUGUUGGUUGAUGGUGUUAAGUCCUUCUAUAUCCUUGAUUUCCUGCCUAGUUGGUCUGUCAGUUAUUGAGAGAAUUCACCACCGUAUCAGUCUUUGAGUCCUAAAGUCCCUAACUAGCCUGACUUCUCUCUACCCUUCAGUCUUCUUAUAUUUCUUUAAUUUACAAUGUCUGGGUUUUUAGUUGUACUUAGAGGGAGGAAUAGGAAAAAGCAUAUCUACUCCAUCUUCUAGAAAUUAGAAGUGGUACUUACAUUUCUACUUUUAUAUUUUAAAAUAAUUCCCCGGGGUGGGCCGGGUGUGGUGGCUCACACCUGUAAUCCCAGCACUUUGGGAAGAGAAAAGAUUGCUUGAGCCCAGGAGUUUGAGACCUGCCUGGGCAACGUAGGAUGACCCCCAUCUCUACAAAGUAAAAAAAUUAGCCUGGCAUGGUGGCAUGGCCUUGUAGUGCCAGCUGCUUGGGGGCUGUGGUGGGAGGAUCCCUUGAGCCCAGGAGGUCACAGCUGCAGUGAGCUGUGAUCACGCCAUUGCACUCCACUGUGGGUGACAGAGCAAGACUCUGUCUCAAAAAAAAAUAAUAAUUAAUAAUAUUAUUCUCAUCUUUUCUUACCUGGGUCAGGUCCUAAAGCAAUUUAAAUCACUUGUAGUUUCUACUAAGGAGUCUCACCUCUGAGUUAUAACCCUAAUGUGAAAAUAAUAGGCAGUAGCGGGAAGCACCUGCAGCCACUCUGGGGCCGGCUUGUUAACCUCAGCACUACAACUUGAUCUGCCGGUUAGUGGUUCUUAAAUUUUGCUGUUUAUGAAAAUCACCUAGAGAACUUUAAAAACUCUCCAUACCCAAGUUACUAAUUAAGUCAUGAUGUGAUAAGAGCCAGUCACUAGCAUUGUGUGUUUUUUGUUUUAAUAAAUUUACAAGUGAUGGCUGGGCGCAGUGGCUCACGCCUGUAAUCCCAACACUUUGGGAGGCCAAGGCGGACAGAUUACAAGGUCAGGAGAUUGAG